UAAAAUAAAAAUAUUAAAUAAAAUAUUCUAUUUUCUUAUAAAAUAAUUUUUUUAGAGAUAUCCGUAAAUAAUUUUUGUAGCGUAAAAGCAAAAUAAAUUUGUACAUACAGUAACACAAAUAGUCAAGGUAUGUAAUUAAAUUUACAAUGACACGUGGAUCCCCAAAUGACUAAAAGUAAUGAAGGCUGUGAACCUACAGUUUUUGAGGAAGUAAAGCCAAAUGUAGCCUUCGACAAUAUCAGCUAUCUACAAACUAUCCUGAGCCUGAAAUGGGUGGAAAGGAGGGUGAUGAGAUUAUAUAAUCCCAGUGAGUAAACAAAUACCAUCUAAAAUAUCUAAAGCUGAGUAAAUGGAGACAGAUAAAAUAGAUUAGCAUAAAAAUGAUUCACAGCAUUUCAAACUCAUUUUAAUAAGAUAAAAUAGAUUCAUUUCACCCAAAAUAAAUAACGAGGUUUAUGAUUUCUUGAAAAGCUUGGCUUGUGCCAAAAUCAUUCUCAUACUCAGUUGUCAGGGAUACCUUGGCCUGAGGCUAUCCCAACCGAGUCCGCUAAGGCUGUUAAAAAGUCAUGUAUGCAUAAAUCAUGUUUUUUAUUUUGAAAACAUAGUUGUUCCUUGGCGUUGGCUGAGUUCACCCUCAAGUGAUGGUUUGGCGUGAAGUGAACUCUAAAGUUGUACCUUGAGAGUUACCCUACAUACCUCUCCGAUCGAGGUAAGAAUAUAACGGGAUUUUGUGCCCCUCAAAAAGGCUGGUCCAAAGAACUCGCCCACUGCAGCAAGCUAAACCCACCAUACAAUAAAAUUUGCAAUAGCAUGACAUGGCAAUAAUUUUAUUUUACAGCCUCUCGAGGCUAAUCAACAGUUCAUACAUUUUCAGCACAUUUACCAAUUCAACCAUUCAUGCCAAUAUUAUCAUAAGCCAUUCAAUUCAAACCAUGAUUUAUAACACAACAAUUAGUCUCCAAUUACUCCAUUUUCAAAACCAUCUUUCAAUUUCAAGACAAUUUUAUAAAAUCAUUUCAUUUAAUUACAUUUUGCUUAUAAAACAUAAAGAUUUACCAUUUAAA
rnacentral:lncRNA from 1 species